UUUGUAUUAAAGUUUUGAUUGUUUGAGGCACAUGAGAUGAGAUUAAGUUAGUUAGUAGUUGUUCCUUGGGUGUUUGAUGUGGUGUAAACCUGAGUUGAGGUGUCUUAGUAUGUGGUUCAGAUGCAGUUAAAGCACCUGUUCUGUUAAAGAAGAAACCUAAAUAUUAAGUAACCACCCACAUAUGUUGGUGAUAUUUUUAAAGAAGUAACUGUCAGCGGAAGGUACAUCACUGUGUUGGGUUCUUUAGACUUAAUGAUCAAGUAUUCUGUGUUAUUCUUGAGAGACAUGUACAAAUGUUUAAGUAAGAAAUUCAUGUUUACAGAAGGAUAACUCGUCUAUCGAUAUGUUAACUUUUCUUCAUUAAAUCUGAUUUUUCUUGAUUCUAGGAAAUAUACAUUUCUAGAAGAAUGUAAGCUUCUAACAUGAUGUAGUGUUUAUUACAGGUGAAAUAGAACUUCCACCUAGUUCUGAAGAAGAAGAAGAAAAUCCAAACAGAAAUGUAGAAGAUGAAAUAGAACUUCCACACAGUUCGGAAGAAGAAAAUCCUAAUGAAAAUGUGAAAGAAUUACCACCUUCAAGUAGUGAUGAAACAGAUGAUCAGAAGGAAGAAGAUACAUGUUCUCCAAGAACUGAACAUCAAAUUACAUAAUCUUUCCUGAAAACUUGCAAUUUUUGUAUAUAUAAUAAUUAUAGAUUAUGAUAUAUGUUCAGUCCUUUGUUUAUGCUUACAGAUAUGAAUAAACUGAUAAAAAAUUAA